AGAACAGACCCCAGUCCACUUCCACCCAGCAGCGAAUGCUCAGAGCAAGACCUGCUUCUGCAAACUCAGCAAGGCCCGCGGGAACUCAAACUUUGUAAACUCCACCAAGGGUUUAGGGGACAUGGGAGCCUCUAGGAAGGGAUCCAAGGGAGGUGACACCAGUCAACCCUCGGAACCAGAAAAGCAUCGUCGCUGGAGGGCGUGUCGGGCAGCUUGGCGACGUAGCACUUGGCGGGACAAGGCCAUUCAUUAGCUGGCAGGGGCGGCGGGGCUGCGCUGCCAGGCCACCCGCCCGUGCCACGCGGCGCGAAGCUCGGCAGCCGCCCCCUCCGCGAGUUCCCUCCCCGGGCCCCGCUCCCCUGCCGGGCUGGCAGGACGCCUUCGCCGUCGCCCUCACCAGUCGCUAGAUGAAGGUGCGCCGGCGGUCUCCGCGGGGCAGGCGCGCGGCCGCGCAGGGACUCAUCCUUAGUGAAAGCUACCGGGGACAACGAAGGGAGCCAGGAGCCGGGACGCCCGAGUCAGCUCCGGGGACGGCUGCACGGAAAGCGACAGCCGCGACUGUCGGCGCCGGGACCGGGUUCGGGGAAACCUGAGCUAGAGCGGGCGGGACUCGGGAAUAAGACGGGCGCUGAUUGGCCGGAGUUCGUGUAUGCCCCACAGUGAUUGGUCGGGGCCUGCCCACAAGGCCUAGCGUGGCAGUACCUCAGCUGUGGCCUUUCCCUAGUAUCCCAAAGGAGCAUGACCCCUGCCGGCCUUGGUGCGGUCGACACUGGCUGCCGCCCUACACUCAGAACCAGUACUGCCCCUCUUGGUGCCAGAUGUCACCCUAGGAGAUCUGUCUCCCCGCAGGUCGACACUCGGAAAGGAGGUUAAGGCUGGGAUGGAGGAAACAAGGAACUGGCUGGAUGCCCAAGCACCACUCCGUAGAAACGUGGGCAUCUUAGAAAAGUUGCUUCCCGGAUCACUCGUAGUGGGAUAACUGGAAAACCAGAGGUGUCCUCUCCCCAAGACUGGGCCCUGCUGCUCUGUGCCCCGCCUGUUGUGCCCGGAUUGUCUGAGUGUCACUCUCUUUUUGUCAGAAGGCGCCAUAGAUUUUUCAGAUCGCCACUGUGCGACCAGCUGCUGACUUGGGUCACAUCUGUCUGCCUGACGCCAGGCUUACAAUAGGUUUUCCUCCCUGAACUCUUAAAUCUACAAGCCAUUUUAAAGGUUGCAAAUUGUGUGCCAAUAAUCAGUCCAGAACGGAAAACAUACUCCUGCUGAAGUCUGAUACAGAGGCGCCUUAGUAAACAUGUGUUCAGGGAGGAGUAGCAUGACUCAGAGAAAAACAGCACUUGGAGCCCAGAGUUGUUUGAACCUCGGCCCUGUUUGUGUUGCUGUAUGAGCCACUGACACCAUCAUCUAUUAAACGGAGUUAAACUCAAUACCCUCUUAGACUGCUUCAGCCCAAUUGCCUGUUUUGUAGACUUUGUAGGAAAGUAAGUUGCUAGAUCAAACUGAAGGAGAGAUGGAAACAGACCUAGCUCCCCAGCUCUCCUCCCAGUGCAAGGACUUAAUUUGCUUUCUUACUUCCUACUCUGACCCAUUCUGUAAUGUAUAAACAGUGACUUGGAAGGAAGCUGUGUACACACUCAUGAACAAAGACGCUCAGUGAUCUGGAAGCUAGUGAUGUAAAUAAAUGUGUUGCCCUGAGUUCA